GCACCCAUAGCUCAGCUGGAUAGAGCGCUGCCCUCCGAAGGCAGAGGUCACAGGUUCAAAUCCUGUUGGGUGCA
rfam:Hyphomonas johnsonii MHS-2 contig7, whole genome shotgun sequence.